AGUGUGUGCCUAAAGCAUGUCUGUUGUAAAUAUACCGAUGUUAUAUAUAUAUAUAUAUAUAGAUAGAAUAUUAUCUACAGUGUGAAGCUGAAGAAAAUUUAUCAAAUUAUACACAAAGAAAUAAACUUUUAGAUUGGGGAAUCUAAACACAGAAAUCAGGAACAAGCAGGAAUAUUUACAAUGUAUUACCCUGACAUCCAACACAAAAAAAUAAUUCCUCUCCACUACAUCACAAUGAGUUUCCUCUCUGAUCAUUGCUGACACUACGUACCUCCUGUAUUUUGUAUGGAAUGCUGGUGACUGUCCCUCGCACCUGGAUCUGACGAAACAACAGGGCCUCCGUGAGUCCGUCCGGCUCAAAUCCGAGCAGCUGACACACCAUCUCCAGAAUACUCUUAGCUUCCUCAGUCAAGUCACUCUUCUCUCCCUCGAUGUCCUCAAACGACAUGUUUCCAAUCAGUAACACUGCCGACAACACCGAGAAUAUCCCAUCCACCAUCUCUGACUGAAUAUUCAGCACAUUCAUAGCCAAUCGGAGCCUGUCGAACAUUUUAGAAUCGUCCACGUUUGAGAGAUGGUAGCAGCCACUCUGGUUCAGGUAGUAGUAGCUUUCGAUGGGUAGCAGGAAGAAUUGGUCCUGGAUUUCUGGGGCGGCGGCAGCUCCGGCCACCAGCUGGUAGAACACGUGGUAGUUCCUCUCGUCCGGAGACUGGAAUGUGAUGCGGGACUGUUCCAGGAGGUAGUCCUGGACAAUACAGCCCUUGAUCUGGUGGGACGCGUCAAAACAGACCUGCAUGAACUUGCCAAACCGACUGGAGUUGUCAUUACGCACCGUCUUAGCAUUUCCUACAAAUACAGAUCAACACAUCAAUUCCUAACCUGCAUAUGCUGUUCUUAUAUACAAGUAAAAAACAUCAGUUUGUCUAAUUUCAAUCCAAUAUGAGAAUUUAAUGACAAUGU
rnacentral:sRNA from 1 species